rnacentral:rRNA from 1 species
UACAGAGGUCUCAAGCGUUGUUCGGAUUCAUUGGGCGUAAAGGGUGUGUAGGUGGCGCCGUAAGUCGGGUGUGAAAUUUCGGAGCUUAACUCCGAAACUGCAUUCGAUAACUGCCGUGCUCGAGGACUUGGAGAGGAGACUGGAAUUCAUGGUGUAGCAGUGAAAUGCGUAGAGAUCAUGAGGAAGACCGUGGCGAAGGCGGGUCUCUGGACAGUUCCUGACACUGAGGCACGAAGGCCCAGGGGAGCAAAACGGG